GACGGAGGUUCCAAGCGUUGUUCGGAUUGACUGGGCGUAAAGGGAGCGCAGGCGGUUGAGUAAGUCUAAAGUGGAAGCCUGGAGCUUAACUCCAGAAGUGCUUUAGAUACUGCUCGGCUUGAGUAUGCCAGAGGAAAGCGGAAUUCAGGGUGUAGCGGUGAAAUGCUUAGAUAUCCUGAGGAACACCGGUGGCGAAAGCGGCUUUCGGGGGCAUUAUUGACGCUCAGGCUCGAAAGCGUGGGGAGCAAACAGG
rnacentral:rRNA from 1 species